UGAAUUAGAAGAAUAUGAAUAUCAGUUAAAGAGAUAUGAUGAUGAGGAGGAAACUCCUCGAAGAAAGGUUUUAGCUCUUACUGCAGAUAAUGAGGAGGAGCUUAAUGAUGACUUAGAUGAAGAAAUAGCCAUGAUAUCAAGAAGACUCAAGGGGCUACUACAAAGGAAGAACAAGAGAAGAAACACUUUCAAUUCAAAUAAGUUCAAAGGAAAGCAAACUGAAG
rnacentral:lncRNA from 1 species